rnacentral:rRNA from 1 species
UACGUAGGUGGCAGGCGUUGUCCGGAUUUACUGGGCGUAAAGAGCGCGCAGGCGGUCGUUCAAGUCGCGUGUGAAAGCCCCCGGCUCAACUGGGGAGGGUCACGCGAUACUGAUCGACUCGAAGGCAGGAGAGGGUAGUGGAAUUCCCGGUGUAGUGGUGAAAUGCGUAGAUAUCGGGAGGAACACCAGUGGCGAAGGCGACUACCUGGCCUGUUCUUGACGCUGAGGCGCGAAAGCUAGGGGAGCAAACGGG